GUUUCAAUAUUGUAAUGUUGUAAAUCCUGCCCACUUCUUUGCAUCGUCAGCACAUGCUUCAGUGCUCUGAGAGUGUUUAUAGUGCUGUGAGUUUAACACUUCAUGACUGAGAGCAGAACACAACACAAUCUUCAUCAUCACACAAGACAAAACAACUACAAUGAACAACAUCAUCAUCAUCAUCUGGACUCUGACUCUCUGCAUUCAGGAGAUCUGGGGACAAGUGACAGUGACUCAGAAUCCAGAAAUAAAAUCCAUCAAACAAGGAGAAACUGUUACGAUCAGCUGUAAAACCAGUCAGACGCUUUCUAGCUGUGGUAGCUGUGUGUCUUGGUAUCAGCAGAAACCUGGAGAAGCUCCUAAACUUCUCAUUUAUUACAUAAGAAGCCUUUAUUCAGGAACUCCAUCUAGAUUCAGUGGCAGUGGAUCUGACUAUGGAAGUGAUUUCACUCUCACCAUCAGAGGAGUCCAGACUGAAGAUACAGGAGAUUAUUACUGUCAGAGUUACCACUCCAUCAACAGUAAAGCUGUGUUCACACAGUGAUAAAGAGUCGUACAAAAACCUCCGUCAGUCAGAGUCACAGUGACUGCACUGAUACAGCUGAGAGAUACUGCAGCUGCUGAUGUGAGGCGGGUGACACAAACAUUGCAAUGACAAUAAUGUAUAAUAAAUAACACAUUUUGUAAUAACAUUAAAUAUUAAUUUAUUUGCUAAAUAUAGCAAACAUAGUUGUCGUAUGUUCUUUAGCUAAUUUUAUUUUCAAUAACAGUUAGUGCUCAGCCAUGUCAGUCUUUGUGUCACUCCUGUGUGAAACUGAGGCAGACAUUUUUCAUUUAUAUUUUUGAUUGCAGAGCAAUUGUGUUUUCUGUCUCAUAAUUGUUCACUGGUUGAUCAGAGUGGUUUCUUUCAUCAGUGAAAUAAAUGCAAAUGUAACUAACUAGGUUUUGUCUGGAAGGUAUAGGUUAGUCUGUAGACAUGUAUUGCUUAUAGAAAUGUUAUAUAAAAGCAAUGUCACACUCACAGACAUGCUGCGGCUUCAUGUCUAUGUAGUCUGUGUUGAUAUCCAGUACAACUGCACUUUUUGUCAUGUGAUAUUGCUUAAAUGUGGCAGGAUGAAAGAAAAUCAUAAAUUUUUCCAAGAUCAUUAUCGAUUUGAGAUGUUUUGGCUGGACACUCUUGUAUAAUUUACUCCAUUUGCAGGUGUUUUCAUGGUUCAUUUUGACAAGAGGAAUCAAAGCCAUAAAGAACUAAAUGUCAAAAAGUACAGCACACAACAGAUCACACUAGUGAAAUACUGUAUUCCUGUAUGCAAUUUAUUUGAUUUUCUAUUUCCAAUGUUACAAGUAUGCCUGCAGUAAUUUCAUCUGCGAUUCUGAACAUCACUUUUCUUUUUUCAUUUUGUAAACAGACCAAAAGUUAAGACAUUUUAAGUUAAAAAACACAAAUUUGAUAAAAAUGCAAAAUAACUAUUUAUUUGGUGAUGUGGACUGCACUCACUAAAGUGAGUUUGCUGCAGUGUAGCAUGCUAUCAUUUGAAACAUUCAUUGUUGUCUAUUAUAUGCCGUUUCACAUGUGAUCUGAUGUUUCUGAUUAAUUUAUGUCAGGUCACACAGACGGGAGGUUCAGAUUUUGGCACUAAUGACAUGAAUCUAUUCACCCAAGCUGCCUUGAGUCGACAGGCCAGGCUACUGCUGGUGGUGUAAUGUUGUGAGGAAUGUUUUCUAGACUCACUUUAGGCCUGUUAACACCAAUCAGUCAUCACUUUAAUAUCACAGACUAGAGUAUUGCUCCUGGACAUGUGUCUCUCUUCACGAUUUCUGGACCUGUGAAUGUGUUUUGACUGCAAAUGACAUCGGCAGUGACAGCCAAUGAGAAGAGCACGAUAGAGGGCAGAGGUGGAAAGUCCAGGGGCCAAAGAGUAAAAGUCCUGCCAUAUUUGUGUUCCACACAUGAACUCAGCAGCUGAUUUCACCAGAGGAGGAACCAAGUCAUUCCUUUCAAGUCUCAAGCAAGUCUCAAGUCAAAUCCCAAGUCCUCAAAAAGUUAAAGUUAAUGAGAUAAUGAAGUGACUAAUUAAAUGAUGAUUGAGCAUUAGUAAUGAACACCUGAUGUUAACAAUCAACAUCACUGAAGAAAAGAGAAACACAAGAACUACAACUGACUUCAGCCACAGCCUUGGAUGAAAUCAACUGGAAGAAAAAAAAUUGUGGUCAGUGUUUGCUUUAGUUGGGCUCUUGAACCAAAUAAAUUUACUUCUAAGCAACUGCAAUAUUGUUUCACAGCAAACAUUUGUGUAAUGCUGAAUCAAACCUUGAAGUAGCAGAUUAGUUUAUGCUUUUGAUGAAUGAAUGUUCUUGGUUUAAAUC